rnacentral:rRNA from 1 species
UGGACAGUACUGACGCUGAGAUGCGAAAGCGUGGGGAGCAAACAGGAUUAGAUACCUGGUAGUCACGCUGUAAACGAUGUCGAUUUGGAGUUUGUUGCCUAGAGUGAUGGGCUCCGAAGCUAACGCGAUAAAUCGACCGCCUGGGGAGUACGGCCGCAAGGUUAAAACUCAAAUGAAUUGACGGGGGCCCGCACAAGCGGUGGAGCAUGUGGUUUAAUUCGAUGCAACGCGAAGAACCUUACCUGGUCUUGACAUCCAUAGAAUUCUGCGGAGAUGUGGGAGUGCCUUCGGGAACUAUGAGACAGGUGCUGCAUGGCUGUCGUCAGCUCGUGUUGUGAAAUGUUGGGUUAAGUCCCGCAACGAGCGCAACCCUUACUCUUUGUUGCCAGCGAUUUGGUCGGGAACUCAAAGGAGACUGCCGUUGAUAAAGCGGAGGAAGGUGGGGACGACGUCAAGUCAUCAUGGCCCUUACGACCAGGGCUACACACGUGCUACAAUGGCGUAUACAAAGGGAAGCGAAGGUGCGAGCUGGAGCGGAUCUCAUAAAGUACGUCUAAGUUCGGAUUGGAGUCUGCAACUCGACUCCAUGAAGUCGGAAUCGCUAGUAAUCGUAGAUCAGAAUGCUACGGUGAAUACGUUCCCGGGCCUUGUACACACCGCCCGUCACACCAUGGGAGUGGGUUGCACCAGAAGUAGAUAGCUUAACCGCGAGGGGGGCGUUUACCACGGUGUGAUUCAUGACUGGGGUGAAGUCGUAACAAGGUAACCA